CACCUCGUUGUGUAGUGGUAGCACGCGUCCCCGAUAUGGAAGGAACGCGAGUUCAACUCCCGUCUGAGGCCGUGU